GGGAAGCUCAGUUGCCCCGGGCAGGUCUGGAGCACAGAGACCCCACCGCACAGGCUCCUCCUGGCAGCAGUUUUCUCAGGACGUCUCCAGGAGCAAUCGAAGCGUUGCUGGGCGUGUGGGUGAAUCCCAAGGUUCCUCGUCAGCGGGUCCACUGUCGGACUAGGCUCUGGCCAACGGGACCCGGCAUGGGAAUGGGCGAGAUGUGUGCAACUUCCGGCUAGGACGUGUGAGGGGAAAUGUGGGCCUGACGGCAGGAGCUGAAGCAGCUGUCUCAGCCCAGAAGUAAUAUGAUCCGUUGGAGACAUUUGGAAAAUAUGAAGAAUAUUUCCAGAACCAUCCAUAACUCUAGGCCUGAGAUUCUGCUGUGUUUCCUGUCUGUUGUACCACUGUCUCACGUCUUGGUUUCUGGCCAUGUCGAGGGAGAGUUCCAGGCAUGCAGUGCCUUUGCAAGACGAAAAUGCAGAUUCCAAGGCACCCCCAGACGAGCUGGAGGACCGGGUGCCCUGGAGCCACCCUGGGGUGAGUGGGUGCCGGGUGAAAGCUCAGUGCCGGGUCUGUGGGGGUGGCAGACAGCACAGAGCCUCCAGGAGGGUAAUUAGGCACAUGGAUUUCAAGCCACGAGGAAGAAGGCAGAUCGAGGCAGGACAGAAGGAGCCCCGUGGGAGUGCUGCCUGGGACGAGGUUCCAGGCUGCGGACGACUCCGGGCCGCUCACAAACUGCAGGUCGCAGCCCAUUAGCUGGUUGUGAAAUCAAUUUAAUGAGUCCUAACUAGCGUGAAAAAAUGGAACAGAACUCUCCGUUUCUAUGAUCAUCCUAGAAAUGAUGAUUUCCAUCAGGAAUCGCUCAUCACCGGGAGGCUGUCUCACGGGCUUUUGCUUCCCUUCCACGUGUGUGCGCUGGUUGUGACGUUAAGUGCAUUUCUCGUGGCCGGUCUUGAUUAACAAAGUUGGAGAGCGCUGGCCGACGAGAGCGAGCAUUCAGAGGCUGCUUGUGGCAGCAGUUCAGCCUCGGAAGACGAGGAAGACAGGCAGACAGGAGCGUGGGUGUGGACGGAGACGGGCGUUUUGUGGAAUGGAGGCGGGUGGAGGGUGGGCACGUGCGGAGGCCGGCCACAGCACUGCAGCACCACCUGUGUGAGACCCAAUGAGCCCCUCCUCCCUGCCUUCCCUCCCGCAGGCCACCCGCUUCCGUCGUGGCGUGGGCCCCAUCCCCAGCUCCAUCUGGUCCUCGCCACGGAGGCCUCUGGCAGUCAGCACAGGGGCAGCCUCCCACAGAGCCCUGAAGGACCAGGUGAGCCUCACGCACUUGCUGACUCAGGGCAGAACAGCCACAGGGCCUCGCCCGUGAGUGUGGCUUGGACACACUGGGGCAUGGAGCUUGUCCCUGAGUUCCACACUUGUACUAGGAGGGCUUCCCGUGCGGUGGGGCGUGAAUUACGAAGAAAAUCACACCUCCCUCCUCCUGAACGAAACGAUUCCCAUGCCUCACUCGGGUCACAGAAACUGAGGUCACCUGCCCUUGGCCCAGCGUGUAGGAGGUCAGGACACAGCCCCCACCCAUGCCUGCCCUAGGUGCCCUCUGAGACCCUAACCUCCCGAGACUGCCAGAAGCCCUCCAGAUAAGUGCAUUCCGGUUUGAACUGCGGCGUGACAGGGUCUCUGUGAAUGCAAGGUGCGGUGCGCCAGUGCUGGAAGCGUGCAGGGGCCGGGCGUCCCACCCACCCGUGAUCACUCACUACCUUCCCCAGACGCACCAGGACAGCAGGUGUGCCCAGGCUCGGGGCCAGGUGGACGAGAGUCUGAGAUGUGGGGCCGUGGACCCCAUUCGACUCCACCAGCCUCCUUUUCCUCCUCUGUAAAUUAGGGUGACAAAAGGCCUCUCAGCAGAGUUGUUGUGAAGCAGCGAAGCCCCAUGGUAAAGGGCUCACGAGGCUUCAGACCACACAGGUGAGCCCCCUACAGGUGAGCCUCACACGAGUGAGACCCACACAGGUGAGCCCCACACGGAUGAGCCUCACACGGAUGAGCCCCACACGGGUGAGCCCCACACGACUGAGCCCCACACGACUGAGCCCCACACGGGUGAGCCCCACACGACUGAGCCCCACACGACUGAGCCCCACACGGGUGAGCCCCACACAGGUGAGCCCUCCACAGGUGAAUCCCACAUGAGUGAGCUCUACAUAGGUGAGCCCCACACAGGUGAGCUCCACACAGGUGAGCUGCACACGAGUGAGACCUCCACAGGUGAGCCCUUCACAGGUGAGCCCCACAUGGGUGAGCCCUACACAGAUGAGCCCCACCCGAGUGACCCACAUGGAUGAGCCCCACAUGUCUGAGCCCCACACAGGUAAGCCCCACACGAGUGAGCCCCACAUGAGUGAGCCCCACACAAGUGAGACCCACAUGGAUGAACCCCACAUGAGUGAGCUCCCCACACGGGUGGGCCCCACACGGGUGAGCCCUCCACAGGUGAAUACCACAUGAGUGAGCUCUACAUAGGUGAGCCCCACACAGGUGAGCCCCACACGGGUGAGCUGCACAUGAGUGAGACCUCCACAGGUGAGCCCUUCACAGGUGAGCCCCACAUGGGUGAGCCCCACACGUCAGCCCUCCACAGGUGAGCCCCACACAGGUGAGCCCCACACGAGUGAGCCCCACAUGAGUGAGCCCCACACAAGCGAGCCCCACACGGAUGAACCCCACACAAGUGAGCUCCCCACAUAGGGGAACCUCACACAGGUGAGCCCCCACAGGAGAGCAACCAGAGUCACCCAGGAUGCUCCCCAUCACGGCCCAUUUCAUUCUGUGGUGGCUCCAGGAAAGACUUUGUCAUUUGAGCAUAGGUCUGCCCCUUCCAGCUCCUUCCAGGUUAACAGGCGUGAGGGGCCCAGUCGGAGAGGCGGGGGGCUUUGAACUUCUGAAGGGUGGGGUGUGGUCUGUCGCUGGACGAUCGUGGGGGCCUGUGCUCCUUCCCCGUUAGGAUCUGCUUGAGUCAGCGCCUGUCACCGGGCACCUUCACAGCACAGGCAAUGCAAGGAUUCUCCCUUCUUGACGUUGUGGACACUCCGCUCCUUUCAGCUUUCAGGCUGCUGAGCCUCUGGAAGCACAAACACAACCCAAAUCCCCUUUGUAUCGCAACAAAAAGGCCUCCACCUGCUCACUUGUGAGAGUUGCGCUUUUGUAUAACGCACACAACACGGAUGGGAGGGAUUUUCUUCAAGGAGGAAGAUGCGGCCGGUAAAUGGGAACCAAGUAAACGCGUUCCCAGAAAACCUCUUCUGGGUAAGUGCAGUGGGCAAGGGACAGGAGCACGAAUAAUUGUGUCUUCUGAAUUUCCUCAGAGGCUGGAAGGAGUUAAACCAGACACGUGAUAGGAGGAAUUAGGGAAUAUAUGUAUUUAUAUGUGCAAAAAUUUUUGUAAGGAAAGUUGGCUGCAACUAAACAUUUUCCACAGUGUGCUAUACAUGUUUUCAAUGAAAGAUGACAUGUAUUUGCAUAAAAAUUCUCUGACACAUUAAAUUCCUACAAGCUGAAGUAAAACCCGGGUGCUUCUUGGCGACUGUGUUUUUUUCUAUGUAAAGUAAAAUGCCUCUAAAGAGCAGAAACAACAGUGUCUCUGGAGAGCGCUGCCGGUCGCAUGUUCCCAUCUGGUGGAAACUCGCGUGUCGGUGCAGCAACCAGGAGCCGCCAGGGCCACGAGGUGAUGGCUCACAGAAGAUAGUGUAGCCGGCCAGGGCUGGUGGGAGGGACACAGAGGGGCCUCUCCUCUCGACCCAGCGCAGUGUGUGUAAGGUGCCCGUGGCUGUGAAAGGCCACCUGACAGCCCAGGAAUCUGCGAAGUCUCGGCAUCGUAAGACAGACCAGCUCCUCCAUUCUAGCCUUGCAGAUGAUUUCAACUCUGGGAACGAGACACAGAAUGCGAGACUGAGGGACUUCUGCUCUGGGCCUAAUUGUUUUCUGACUUUAUGUUACAGACAAUUUAGGACAGAAGCAGAGAGUGAAUGACAUGUAGACCUCAUGGACUGCUGUCCAACUUCCACAGUGACCAGCUCGGGCCAGUCCUGCACCAUCAACCCCCAACCCGCUGCCCCACUUGUGUUAUUUUGCAGCUAAUCCCUGACAUCAUAUUUCAUCCUUAAACAUUUGGCAUUGUCUCUAAAAAAAUUAAGAUCUUUAAUAAAACAUUACUACAGAA
ensembl:lncRNA